rnacentral:rRNA from 1 species
GACGAACGCUGGCGGCGUGCUUAACACAUGCAAGUCGAACGGAAAGGCCCUGCUUUUGUGGGGUGCUCGAGUGGCGAACGGGUGAGUAACACGUGAGUAACCUGCCCUUGACUUUGGGAUAACUUCAGGAAACUGGGGCUAAUACCGGAUAGGAGCUCCUGCUGCAUGGUGUGGGUUGGAAAGUUUCUGCGGUUGGGGAUGGACUCGCGGCUUAUCAGCUUGUUGGUGGGGUAGUGGCUUACCAAGGCUCUGACGGGUAGCCGGCCUGAGAGGGUGACCGGCCACAUUGGGACUGAGAUACGGCCCAGACUCCUACGGGAGGCAGCAGUGGGGAAUAUUGCACAAUGGGCGGAAGCCUGAUGCAGCAACGCCGCGUGCGGGAUGACGGCCUUCGGGUUGUAAACCGCUUUCGCCUGUGACGAAGCGUGAGUGACGGUAAUGGGUAAAGAAGCACCGGCUAACUACGUG